rnacentral:misc_RNA from 1 species
GAUGAAGAACGUAGCAAAAUGCGAUACUUGGUGUGAAUUGCAGAAUCCCGUGAACCAUCGAGUUUUCGAACGCAAGUUGCGCCCGAAGCCUUUUGGCCGAGGGCACGUCUGCCUGGGCGUCACGCAUCGCGUCGCCCCCCACAAUUCUCCGUAAAAGGAACAUGUGUUUUGGGGGCGGAUAUUGGUCUCCCGUGCUCAUGGCGUGGUUGGCCGAAAUAGGAGUCCUUUCGAUGGACGCACGAACUAGUGGUGGUCGUAAAAACCCUCGUCUUUUGUUUCGUGCUGUUGCUCGCAAGGUAAACUCUUUAAAAACCCCAAUGUGUCGUCUCUUGACGACGCUUCGACCGCGACCCCAGGUCAGGCGGGACUACCCGCUGAGUUUAAGCAUAUCAAUAAGCGGAGGA